rnacentral:rRNA from 1 species
GAGGGGUAACAUAGAGUGCUUGCACUUUGAUGACGACCGGCGCACGGGUGCGCAACGCGUAUAGAACCUACCCUGUACAGGGGGAUAGCCCGGAGAAAUCCGGAUUAAUACCCCGUGGUAAUAUAGAUUGGCAUCGAUUUAUAUUUAAAGUUUUCUUAACGGUACAGGAUGGCUAUGCGUCCUAUUAGUUAGAUGGUGAGGUAACGGCUCACCAUGGCGAUGAUAGGUAGGGGCCCUGAGAGGGGGAUCCCCCACACUGGUACUGAGACACGGACCAGACUCCUACGGGAGGCAGCAGUGAGGAAUAUUGGACAAUGGGCGGAAGCCUGAUCCAGCCAUGCCGCGUGCAGGAAGACGGCCCUACGGGUUGUAAACUGCUUUUAUACGGGAAGAAUAAUCGCGACGUGUCGUGGGAUGACGGUACCGUAAAGAAUAAGGACCGGCUAACUCCGUGCCCAGCAGCCGCGGUAAUACGGAGGGUCCGAGCGUUAUCCGGAAUUAUUG